rnacentral:rRNA from 1 species
UACCAGCACCCCGAGUGGUCGGGACGAUUAUUGGGCCUAAAGCAUCCGUAGCCGAUUUUACAAGUCCUCCGUUAAAUCCAGCUGCUUAACAGAUGGGCUGCGGAGGAUACUAUAAGACUAGGAGGCAGGAGAGGCAAGCGGUACUCAGUGGGUAGGGGUAAAAUCCGUUGAUCCAUUGAAGACCACCAGUGGCGAAGGCGGCUUGCCAGAAUGCGCUCGACGGUAAGGGAUGAAAGCUGGGGGAGCAAACCGG